AUUGAACGCUGGCGGCAUGCCUUACACAUGCAAGUCGAACGGUAACGGGCCUUCGGGUGCCGACGAGUGGCGAACGGGUGAGUAAUGCAUCGGAACGUACCUUUCAGUGGGGGAUAACGUAGCGAAAGUUACGCUAAUACCGCAUAUUCUGUGAGCAGGAAAGCAGGGGAUCGCAAGACCUUGCGCUGAUUGAGCGGCCGAUGUCAGAUUAGCUAGUUGGUGAGGUAAAGGCUCACCAAGGCGACGAUCUGUAGCGGGUCUGAGGGGAUGAUCCGCCACACUGGAACUGAGACACGGUCCAGACUCCUACGGGAGGCAGCAGUGGGGAAUUUUGGACAAUGGGGGCAACCCUGAUCCAGCCAUGCCGCGUGAGUGAAGAAGGCCUUCGGGUUGUAAAGCUCUUUCGGCCGGGAAGAAAUCGUAUGGGCUAAUACCCUGUGCGGAUGACGGUACCGGCAUAAGAAGCACCGGCUAACUACGUGCCAGCAGCAGCCGCAGUAA
rnacentral:rRNA from 1 species